rnacentral:rRNA from 1 species
CGGGUGAGUAACGCGUGGGUAACCUGCCUCGUACUGGGGGACAACAGUUGGAAACGACUGCUAAUACCGCAUAAGCGCACAGCUUCGCAUGAAGCAGUGUGAAAAACUCCGGUGGUACAAGAUGGACCCGCGUCUGAUUAGCUGGUUGGUGAGGUAACGGCCCACCAAGGCGACGAUCAGUAGCCGGCCUGAGAGGGUGAACGGCCACAUUGGGACUGAGACACGGCCCAA